AAAAAUACAAGAGAGUCUGAUACAUUCAAAACUUGCCUUAAGUUACACACAACGGAACGUGGUGAUUUCAUUGUCUAUAGUAGUGUGUGGGGGAAUAUGAUUACUUUUAUGGUUCUCUAAUUUUUUUAAUUACAAAAAGAAUAUUUCAAAGUGUUUGCAUUUGAAUAGUGCACAUGGUUUGAUUCGUGAUCUUCAAGCGAUAAAUUAGUGUCUAGAAUACUGUUUUCAUUUUUUUUUACUCUUAUUUUCUACUUAAUUGUGUUUAAUCUUUUGGUGAUACAAGUAUUUAGUUUGAAAUAUAAACUGAUGAUAACACUUGUUUGACAUAGUGCAAGAAAAAUUUUGGCUUGAUUUGAUACAAUUCUAGUAUGAGUUGAAUUUAAACUUUUAAUAUUUAAAUGUUAAGUUUAAAAUUAUGUUCGAGAGAGGUGUAUUCUUCAGGCUCAAUGUUUUUUUCUCUCUCGUUUCUUUCUAUCGAAUAAUCGUUUGGAAAGAUGCUUUUUCUGGUCUCUGGUGUCUUGUCGGACCAUGAUAAGGCUUCAUCUUUCCCUCCUCAUUUGUCUCUUCUUUUUUUGAUAUCGAACAUAAAUAGUUGUGGUUUGUAGGAUUUAGCGGCAGUGUGUCUUUUUCUUUUUGAACUUCAGAUAAAUUUUCUAACGCCAUGGAUCUAUAGGAGAGUGUCGUCGCUGCUUGAGGACGGUGGUGAGGUUUCCAGAGACUCCGCAAGUCAGUCAUCAAGCUCCUCUUGACUGGAUUGAAAUGGAGAUGUGUGUGGGCUUCAGGAUUUGAUCGACAGCGAAAUGCUUGUAGUAUACAGAGCUAGAUUUUUGAGAGUUGGUUCUUUGUUGGUGUCAGUGUUUGAGAACGCGAGACUACUCUGUGGGGAUGUGGCUUAUCAGUUAUCACUAAUAGUUUACCGUGCACAAAUCGAAGGGCUGGUCAUGACAUCGCGACUUAGAGAAGUCACGGAAACAUUUGAUUUGGUCGCUGCUAGUGUUCGUUGGAGGUGAAGCUUUGGCUUCUACAGUCCAUUGGACCAUAUGGACUACUAUGUAAAAACUGUUAUGAACUUAUGAUCCUCUUUAUUAGAGUUGAUUAAUAUUAAUGAAAUAUAUAUUUUUUAAAGAAGAUUAAACUUGUGUUUAUUU